ACCUGGCUGGCUCAUUUGGUAGAGUGCGUGACUCUUGACCUUGGAGUUGUGAGUUGGAGCCCCAUGCUAGGUG
rnacentral:tRNA from 1 species